UCUCCUCUCCUCCUCCCCUCCCCUCAUCACUAGGCAUGACAAGACCCGAGUAAAGAGGGAGAUCCACCGCGCCCGAAAGCACGUCAGGCGGCGGCCAUGGCGCGCCCAGAUCCGCCAUUGCCGCCGCCGUCGAGCUCCUCUACUCCCAGCGCCGGAUCCACCUCCAUCCCGACAACCGCGCAACAGCAGGCGCCGCCACCGACGCCUUCUACACCCCAAGCGACGGCGGCGCCCAGAUAACACGGCUCGUCUCCUCCCCGGAGGAGCCACCGUGGCCGGGCUUCCGGGAGAAGCAGAGGACCGACGCCGGCUGGAGCUACUUGUCCAGGGCCACCGAGCUCCCCCCCAAGCGGCCACAACCGGCGACCUCUCCCUUCCUGUCCAGCUUCCUCCACGGCUGCUCUACUUCAACACGACAUGGACGGAUGCCACAUCCACCGAGCCACGGACGCCAUGGACGGAGGUCCAACCCUUCAGCAGCAGCAGGCCGCCAUUUUCAUUGAUUUGAGGAAUUCCUGCAAGUGAUUGAUGGUGUGCAGGCCAUGGAGGGCUUCAACCCAUCAAGGCUUUGUAUGUGAAAUCCCCAGAGUUGAAUGAUCUGAACCUCAACUAUUGUACAAACCUACACCCAGACUUUGUGCAUUAGAAGACACUUGCCCCAGAUCCAAUUCGUCGAUGGAGUUAGAACAAUUCCGUACAACAGAGUAUUAGGUGUCUACCAAUUAUUGUUUGUCUUCUUAAGUGAAUGAGCUGCUGGUCAUACUUUAACCACACGUCAAUUGCAGGAGUGCGACAGCGCCAUCCUGUGCCACAAACCAUGCGAAGAAUGAUGGGUGGUGUAAUCCUAUGCUAGCUAGCGUGCUAGACAGAUUUAAUAAACUCUUUGGAGCUCAUCUUUUGCCUGAAAAGCUAAAACUAACCUGCCACAGCAGUGACUAAUGAUUAAUACGAUGGAGUUCAUUUGAUCCACCUUAAAAAAAUAACUAUUGGGAAUAAGAAUUAAAAGUAAUCACCCCUGUUUCUGCAGUGGAAUUCAAGUAUACCGGCUCGUCUAUUUAUUUGACUGUUGUUAGAUUGUUUCAUCCUGGUCUGACGUGUUAAUGGAGUUGUUUCAUUCCUCACACGACCCCUUCCAGAUGCAUUUUUGGGGUCCUCUGAUUUUCACAAUAAAUAACAACUUCUGCUGAAGAUAAACAUCAUGACAAAUGCCCCCAAACCAGAAGCGAAAUGACCUAACAAAUAUAAUGCCAUCAGACGCAAUCCUGAAUCUCUCAUCAAUGCAGAGAUGAGUGGACGUUCCAAAAGCUUUGUCUCCGUUACCUGCUGGUUCAAGAUCUGCACAAAGUUUCCUCCCUUCCGUCGUCGGCCUCAUCUGAAGGUCCUUUGAUUGGUCUAUUCUGCGUCAAAGGCCCUGUUCACCUCUGGUAAAUUCCGCUGCAGCCUCAAUUAGGUGUCGGUUGGCCUGCAGCUCGUGUGGUCGGAGGUGCUCGUGUGGGCGGAGGUGCUCAUGCGGGACGAAACUUAGUGUCGACAAGGAGGCCUACCUAUGAUGCCCGUGCAGUUGAAAAUGUUUGCAAGCCAGCCUAUGAUGUCUGAUUGGAGGCCUACUUAUGAUGUCAGGUCCUUUGAUUGGUCUAUUCUGCGUCAAAGGCCCUGUUCACCUCUGGUAAAUUCCGCUGCAGCCUCAAUUAGGUGUCGGUUGGCCUGCAGCUCGUGUGGUCGGAGGUGCUCGUGUGGGCGGAGGUGCUCAUGCGGGACGAAACUUAGUGUCGACAAGGAGGCCUACCUAUGAUGCCCGUGCAGUUGAAAAUGUUUGCAAGCCAGCCUAUGAUGUCUGAUUGGAGGCCUACUUAUGAUGUCAGGUUCCGCCGAUUCUGGAAGCACACGGCUGAAUGGAAUCCAACAGAACCAAUGCUACAUCAGGGUGCACCGUUGAAGCAUUUUGAUUGGCCCGAGAGAAAUGAGGACACUGCAUAUCAGACAACCUUUUGCUUACUAACCUCGUAAAUAUUUGAAGUGCAAUGGGUAUGCAAAGCUUUGCCACUUUCUGAAGUGCGUUGAAAUAGGAGUUCCAGAUCUUGAUUUUUCAAGAAACUGAAGAAGAGCGUUUGAGGAAAGAGGAGAAGUGGAAGGGAAAAGGAGAAGUUGCUCAAGAAGAAUACUAGAAACGCCUUACCAGUAGGCUCUCGUUGCAAUGUUUUCAUGGAUUAUUGGAUGAGUCUUCCUCUUGAUUGUUUUUUUAGGUUCAGUAAGAUGAUGACAUCCGAUUAAUAUCUUGCUGUUCAGGAGGUUUUGACUAUAUGAAAAAUAUUGUUUUCUUGCCAGUGAAGAUUAUCAUGUUUGUACGCCUACCCUAUAGUAAAUUGCCGUAUUGAGAUCAAUUGUUGGAUUAUCAGGGCCAUGAACUGCUAAAAGAUAGUGAUGAUCCCUUGAGUCUAUUAUAAGUACCAUUUUAGUUUGAUGUCCUUUUUAUUGAUUUGUUUAUGAUAAUAAUUGAGAAAUAAAGAAGCAUUGUGGCAUAUCAAAUA